GACGGGGGCUGCGGCGUGGCGGCCCCUCAGGCCUCUGCUUGCCCCGGGGUGUGGCCCGUGCCGUGUCCGUGACAGCGGUGCUGAGGUACCGUCCGGUGCGCAGGUUCACCUGGAUUGGGGCAACCUACAAAGUCCUCAGCAAAGAUAGCAAGGGAGGCCUCCAGGCAUCCUGUUUAUCUACAGAGAGGCAACUUCCCUGGUGGGAUUUUGCCUGAACACAGCAGCACCAGCAGGAGAUCAGGUAUGGCACCUAGCAGGACUGCAAGCUGGCAAUGGCAGCCUAAGGCCUGACAAACUGUACGCUCAGCUUUUCAUGGGGGUUGAGAGGUCCCUUUUCAUGUCUCAGUCAGCAAUGCUGCCUAAUGCAAACCCUGCCUUAGCCACAAAUGCAUUUCCCAUCCCCUGAAAAAAUACCUAGUCCUGCCCUUUCUGCAGUCUCUGCUAACUUACUGCAGAGCAGUGACUUCAGAGCAUACCACCCAUGCUCAGGUGGGCAGGGAAGCUUAAAGGGAUGUUCUGCAGAGAAGGCUGCCGAGCUGCCUCUCCUCAUGCUGAUGAACUAGCUGGACCCUGUCUAGGACAUGCUGUGGCUGUCGCUGAGCUGGAGAUGUGUCCUUCAGCCACAGCCCUACCAGAUCUCGGUGCAGGAAUUGCUUGGAUUCCAGGUACUCCAUAGCUUCACAGACAUCCUUGCACAUCUCCAGCAGCUCAGCAGGCUGGAACCGCUGCCGAGUUUCCCUCAGGAAGUUCAGGAGGCAGCCAUUGGCCAUGUACUCUGUGAUGAUGAAGAUGGGACGCUGCUUGGUGCAGACACCGUAGAGCUGCACCAGCUUCUCAUGAGACAGGUUCCUGUGUUGGGGACAAGAAGGGCAAUUCUAAGCAUCUUGAAGGCCAAGCAGCAAAAAAAGCAUCUGUGAAUAAAGAGAGUUUGGGAAGGGAA